UUCGGCAUGCUCGCUUUUUAAAAUACUUUCAAGUAAAAUUAAAGUUUUGUGUGAAUUUUUGCAAUAAAACGUGUUUAUUGUUUCCCGUUGUGAAAUCAUUUUACAAAUCGAACUUUUGAAAUUUACUAUUUAUCAUUUAUAUUUGACUAAUCACUUCUGCCUCUGAUAUCUUCCCCUCUAUACUUCUGUUACAAUAACGCUAAAUUUUCAAAGUAAAAAAUCGGGAUUCAGAAGGUCAAUAUUGUCGCGUUUAUUUAAUCGUCGCGACGCGUACAAGCAUGUAAAAUUAACGCUGCUCUCUCAAAUGUAUACACGUGUAACUUGAAUCUAUAUAUUUCUGCUUUUCGAAUGCUUUCGUAGCAGUCGAGAAAUCACGCAUACCACGUCUUAGGGUUUCCUUUGUCUAUUAUUCGCAGAAAAAAAAUUUUCGCUAUAUAUAUGAUAUUCACACAUAUAUGAUAUUAAUUUCUCGUGAAAGUUCGAUGCGUCAAACAUGUGCGACGCAGAUAGCGACUACUAGAAAUUGUAUAAGUCCGGAUAGCAGAAAACGUUUGAAGGUAAUUUAAAACUUCCCAAAAUAUCCCAAGAGUAUUCAAAAUGGACAGGAAUUUUUGAGCUAGAAUAAUAGAAGAGAACGACCGUCCAAUAUAGUUAUUCUCAACAUUCCUUCCUAGUAUAAAGGAAAUUAUAUUUUCUCUUCUAUUGUUCGCAGAUAGCAUAGAAAAUUUCUGUGUCCAUUUUGAAUACUCUUGGGUUUCAGAAUAUUCUAUACAUAUCUUAAAUCAUCUUGAAAAAUGUUGUGCUAUUCUAUACAUCGAAGAAAUAUAUAAUAUAUAAGAAAUGUAAGAAAUAUAUUCGUAUAACAGAAAUAUUUAGUACUUUCAGGUAUACGUGAAUAUAUACGAAAGAAAAACGUUAGUCGUAUCGAUAUAUUCAGCGAAAAAAAAUUUGAAUUUGAUGUAAACGUUGACGAUCGUUAUCUCCUGGCACUGUUGCGAGAGAUGAAGACUUCAACAGCGCUUACAAGGUGAGAUUAUAAUUAAACAUGUGCAGUGUGAGAGAGUAUGAAUAUUCUUAUUCUUUACAUAUAAUUCAAUUGUCAUCAAUAUUACAGUGUAUGAACGAUUUGUUUGAAUGAUUUAAACUUGUAUCAACGUAACUAAUUGCUUUAUAAUUUCGUUACUUCGCACCUUACAGUAAUUCGAACACAUUCACGUACACAGACCAUUUAUAAUAGCUUUAACAUGUGUGUGGUAAAAUAAAUUAUUAGUAUUUUUUAAUUGUACAAUCAGUUGCAAAUCGGUUUUCAUAUUUUUAUCGAGUGAACCUGCAACGUUGGAAACUUGAAGCGUUUACAUGUUCGUUACGAAAUAAACCGUAGUAUUGCAGCUUCUUUCGAUAAAAGAUGUGCGAACCGACUGUACAGAUUUGCUUGUAGACAUUAACAUGGAACUAUUGCCGUCACAAAUUACUGCUUAGACACAAUUGAAAAACCUUAAUAAUUUCGUUUUAUUACAUGUUAAAAGAGAGAGAGCUUCUUGUGCUGUUCUGUGUACAACUUUUAGAAGAGAGACGAACACGUCGACUUUUCCUUUUAUCCUUUUAGUCACGCGGUGCGAGACUUUUACAGUGUAUGAUACAAAGAGAGAGGGAAAAAGAGAUUCAACAGCUUCAACAGGAAAGAGAGUUUCAACAGCUUGGAAUAUAUUUAAAGCAGGUCGUAUAAAUCGAUGCACAAUCGCCCUGAUACUUUCGUUACAUGAUGAGCGACAUUUUAUUUCAAUACAUUAUACACACAUUCAUACACACUCAUAUACACACAAACACACUUCACUUAUUCGUUGAAUUGCAAUUACAAUGUUAACGUACUGAUACAUUUUGUCAGAUAAGUGGAGGAACAUUUACUUACACACGAGUUUCACUCGAUGGAGUUGUCGUACUGCAAGCACUAAUGAACAGUGCGUGGUACAUGUUACUUAUUAUUUUCAUUGUGUGUGUGUGUGCAAUUUGCUGCGAGACUUAUUAUUUUUUUUCACACCAGGAAUAUAAAAAAAGAAAGUGUCGAAGAUUAUGUACGCGCUUGCGACUGUACAUUUCUAAGAAGUGAGAAAUAAAACAAAUAGAAACA